AUGAGGAAGAAGAGGAAGAUUCAGAUGCAGAAGAUGGUGGGCUGAGGAGGGCUAGGAAGAGACCAUUGGAGGAAACGCAAGGGCGCUCCAAAUGUCAAUGCUGGGAGGAAGAAAAAGAACGAUGACAAGGGUGCGCGAGGAAAACCAGUGAAGAAAGACUCUAGUAAGGGCGGUAAAGAACAGGCCAAAGGGGUGAUGAAGACAAAAAGGCUUGCUAGGAAUGUACCACAGGCUGAGCGAAUAAGAGCUGUCAAGUUAGCUUCUGUAGCUAUGAAGAGAAAAUCAGUGAAGUUAGUGUUUUUUCUGUUAUAGUGUACUGUACAUGCUCAAAUCUUCUUUGCUAUCCUAUUAACAAACGUUGUUUCAUGAAGGAAAGCUAAAGUGAAGUCGAGACAGGAUGUUUAGAUGCACAGGGUCAAGCAGAGAAAACAAAAGGAUUUCUAGGGUCGAAAAAUUGAGAACAAACUAAAGUAGACAGUUUUCCAUGCCGUGAUCCACCUUGUUUCUGAUGUAUUAGACCUAUUUGAUGGACUGCCACUAUUUUUCUAAAUUACUCGUUUGAUUGGUACACCCUCAUUUUAUUAUGGACGGGUCGACAUGGUAGGCUAGUUAUGAUUUAUCAACAUCGAUGAAACAAUGCAUUUUUAGUGAAGUUGGUUUUCUGUAUUUUUUUUCAUUUUUUUUACAUAAUAUAUUGGUGAAA